UACGGAGGGGGCGAGCGUUAUUCGGGAUUAUUGGGCGUAAAGGGCGCGUAGGCGGCCCGGUAAGUCAAAGGUGAAAUCCCUCGGCUCAACUGAGGAACUGCCUUUGAAACUGUCGGGCUUGAGGCCGGGAGGGGGUAGCGGAAUUCCCAGUGUAGCGGUGAAAUGCGUAGAUAUCGGGAGGAACACCAGUGGCGAAGGCGACUACCUGGCCUGUUCUUGACGCUGAGGCGCGAAAGCUAGGGGAGCAAACGGG
rnacentral:rRNA from 1 species